rnacentral:tRNA from 1 species
GCCCGGGUGGAGAAAUUAGUAAACUCGCCAUCUUGAGGUGGUGGUGCCGAAAGGUUUGCAGGUGCAAGUCCUGUCCCGGGCACAA